GACGAACGCUGGCGGCGUGCCUAAUACAUGCAAGUUGAGCGAUGAAGCUUGGUGCUUGCACCAAUUUGAAGAGCAGCGAACGGGUGAGUAACGCGUGGGGAAUCUGCCUUUGAGCGGGGGACAACAUUUGGAAACGAAUGCUAAUACCGCAUAACAACUUUAAACAUAAGUUUUAAGUUUGAAAGAUGCAAUUGCAUCACUCAAAGAUGAUCCCGCGUUGUAUUAGCUAGUUGGUGAGGUAAAGGCUCACCAAGGCGAUGAUACAUAGCCGACCUGAGAGGGUGAUCGGCCACAUUGGGACUGAGACACGGCCCAAACUCCUACGGGAGGCAGCAGUAGGGAAUCUUCGGAAAUGGACGAAAGUCUGACCGAGCAACGCCGCGUGAGUGAAGAAGGUUUUCGGAUCGUAAAACUCUGUUGGUAGAGAAGAACGUUGGUGAGAGUGGAAAGCUCAUCAAGUGACGGUAACUACCCAGAAAGGGACGGCUAACUACGUG
rnacentral:rRNA from 1 species